GUCCAACCCUAAUAGUCUCACAUUUUUCCUACCAAACUCAUUGAUCGCUGCUGCCCCACAAAUUCCCUUCCAAAAAAGAACUAAUCGACCAAAUCUCGUAGUCCACCACAUCCAUCGUCCAUAUACUCAUUUCCAUAGAUCAACUUACACCGUUGGAUUAAAGUCAUGUGUCGUUAGAUUAAAAUGUGCAACCCUAAAUAGCUUUAUCUUUCUUUUCUAGUCCAUUUAUUCGCCGCCGCCGCCGCAACUCUCACCUCUCCUACAUCUCUACUUAUAACCACGACACCCACAGACACCCUUCUUCAUCCCACGCCUUCAUAGAUCAUCGCCGGAUCUCAUUCGAUUCUUUCUUGUCUCCAUAUCUAACUAGUUCUAGAGUCCGCCAUGGCCCCCACUACCUCCACCCCCUUCAAAUCUAGGGUUUGAGGCUACAAGCGGAGAGGGAUAAGUGGUGGAAACUUGAUGUCCAAAUCAAUCAUGAGCCCGGGGUACGGGCCAUGGAAUCACUUCAUCGAUCGAACACACGACGAAUCAGCACCCUCAAAAAUCAGAAGCUGGAACCCCUCUAGGCCCAUGGGAAGAUUGGAUGCUGAGAAGAGGAAGGCGAUCGAGGGUUUUGGGACUACUCAUCCAUGCAAUCAGAUAUAGUAAGGAAGAAACCAUGAAGUCCUCUCAGCUGCAAUGCGGUUGAAUAAGCAAGAGACGAUGUUCACUCUAUGAUGCAAACAAGAGUAAUGACCGAGCUUUGUGAUGCUCUUGGUCAAGAUACUAACGGCAGCCAGGUAAAAAAAACGAUACUAACGGCAGCCAGGUCAAAAAGAAACGAUACUAACGGCAGCUGCUCCUGUCCAGAACAGAGAUGGGGAACAAAGAAAAAAUAGGAAUAGACUUACACAAUUGCAACAUAGCUGCAGAUUGUGCUUGUUCCAGUAAUUAGCAGCAUAUAUUAUUUCUCAUCACGAGUGGUCAAUAUGUUCCGUUUCUAUCCCGCUCUUGAUGCUGUUCUGAAGGGUCAUUCUUAGCAGUUAGCACAGUCAGCCAUUCGCAAACUCGCAACAUGAACAUGUAAUGUAUGGAACACUGGUCCUUCAAGAAUUCUCAUUAAAGAUUUAAAGGCGUGUUUGAGAACAAA